CCUACGGGAGGCAGCAGUGAGGAAUAUUGGUCAAUGGACGAGAGUCUGAACCAGCCAAGUAGCGUGAAGGAUGACUGCCCUAUGGGUUGUAAACUUCUUUUAUAAAGGAAUAAAACGAGGCACGUGUGCCUUUUUGCAUGUACUUUAUGAAUAAGGAUCGGCUAACUCCGUGCCAGCAGCCGCGGUAAUACGGAGGAUCCGAGCGUUAUCCGGAUUUAUUGGGUUUAAAGGGAGCGUAGAUGGGUUGUUAAGUCAGUUGUGAAAUUUUGCGGCUCAACCGUAAAAUUGCAAUGGAUACUGGCAGUCUUGAGUACAGUUGAGGUAGGCGGAAUUCGUGGUGUAGCGGUGAAAUGCUUAGAUAUCACGAAGAACCCCGAUUGCGAAGGCAGCUUACUAACCUGUGACUGACAUUGAUGCUCGAAAGUGUGGGUAUCAAACAGGAUUAGAUACCCUGGUAGUC
rnacentral:rRNA from 1 species